rnacentral:rRNA from 1 species
UACAGAGGGUGCAAGCGUUAAUCGGAAUUACUGGGCGUAAAGCGUGCGUAGUCGGUUAUCUAAGUCGGGUGUGAAAUCCCCCGGGCUCAACCUGGGAAUGGCAAUGGAUACUGGCAGGCUAGAGUGCGGUAGAGGGUAGUGGAAUUCCCGGUGUAGCGGUGAAAUGCGUAGAUAUCAGGAGGAAUACCGGUGGUGUAGACGGCUCUCUGGACCGCCACUGACGCUGAGACACGAAAAGCGUGGGUAGCAAACAGG